rnacentral:rRNA from 1 species
UACGGGGGGGGCAAGCGUUGUUCGGAAUUACUGGGCGUAAAGGGCUCGUAGGUGGUCAACUAAGUCAGACGUGAAAUCCCUCGGCUUAACCGGGGAACUGCGUCUGAUACUGGAUGGCUUGAGUUCGGGAGAGGGAUGCGGAAUUCCAGGUGUAGCGGUGAAAUGCGUAGAUAUCUGGAGGAACACCGGUGGCGAAGGCGGCAUCCUGGACCAAUACUGACGCUGAGGAGCGAAAGCCAGGGGAGCAAACGGG